AAGGAGUCUAGCAUGUGCGCGAGUCAUUGGGACAUAACUAAACCUAAAGGCGUAAUGAAAGUGAAGGUCCGCCUCGCGCGGAUCGAGGGAGGAUGGGCGACUCCCGGGGCGUCUCGUUCUCAUCGCGAGAAGAGGCGCACCAAGAGCGUACACGCUGGGACCCGAAAGAUGGUGAACUAUGCCUGGUCAGGACGAAGUCAGGGGAAACCCUGAUGGAGGUCCGUAGCGAUUCUGACGUGCAAAUCGAUCGUCGGAACUGGGUAUAGGGGCGAAAGACUAAUCGAACCAUCUAGUAGCUGGUUCCCUCCGAAGUUUCCCUCAGGAUAGCUGGCGCUCGUAGCGCACGAGUUUCAUCCGGUAAAGCGAAUGAUUAGAGGCAUUGGGGUCGAAACGACCUCAACCUAUUCUCAAACUUUAAAUGGUGAGAUCUCCGGCUUGCUCGAAUCAGAG
rnacentral:rRNA from 1 species